rnacentral:rRNA from 1 species
GACGAACGCUGGCGGCGUGCUUAACACAUGCAAGUCGAACGAAGUGGCGAACGGGUGAGUAACGCGUAAUCAACCUGCCCUUCAGAGGGGGACAACAGUUGGAAACGACUGCUAAUACCGCAUACGGAAGGAGGGGAUUGCGUCUGAUUGGCUAGUUGGAGGGGUAACGGCCAACCAAGGUGAUGAUCAGUAGCCGGGCUGGGAGGAUGAACGGCCACAAUGGGAAUGGGAAAAGGCCCAGACUCCUUCGGGAGGCAGCCGUGGGGAAUCUUCCGAAAUGGACGACAGUCUGACGGAGCAACGCCGCGUGAGUGAUGACGGCCUUCGGGUUGUAAAGCUCUGUUAAUCGGGACGCGGUACCGGAAUAGAAAGCCACGGCUAACUACGUGCCAGCAGCCGCGGUAAUAC